rnacentral:rRNA from 1 species
GAUGAACGCUGGCGGCGUGCCUAAUACAUGCAAGUCGAGCGAACGGACCAGAAGCUUGCUUCUCUGAUGUUAGCGGCGGACGGGAGAGUAACACGUGGUUAACCUACCUAUAAGACUGGGAUAACUUCGGGAAACCGUAGCUAAUACCGGAUAAUAUUUUGACCCGCAUGGUUCAAAAGUGAAAGACGGUCUUGCUGUCACUUAUAGAUGGAUCCGCGCUGCAUUAGCUAGUUGGUAAGGUAACGGCUUACCAAGGCAACGAUGCAUAGCCGACCUGAGAGGGAGGACGCCCAGCCGGGAACUGAGGCAGGGCCGAGACUCCUACGGUGGGAAGCAGUAGAGAAUCUUCCGCAAGGGGGGAGAGCCUGACGGAGCAACGCCGCGUGAGUGAUGAUGGUCUUCGGAUGGGAAAGCUCUGUUGUUAGGGAAGAACAAAUGUGUAAGUAACUGUGAACAUCUUGACGGUACCUAAUCAGAAAGCCACGGCUAACUACGUG